rnacentral:rRNA from 1 species
AUUGAACGCUGGCGGCAGGCUUAACACAUGCAAGUCGAGCGGGGAAGGGUAGCUUGCUACCUAACCUAGCGGCGGACGGGUGAGUAAUGCUUAGGAAUCUGCCAUUUAGUGGGGGACAACAUUCCGAAAGGAAUGCUAAUACCGCAUACGUCCUACGGGAGAAAGCAGGGGAUCUUCGGACCUUGCGCUAAAUGAUGAGCCUAAGUCGGAUUAGCGAGUUGGUGGGGUAAAGGCCUACCAAGGCGACGAUCUGUAGCGGGUCUGAGAGGAUGGUCCGCCACACUGGGACUGGGACACGGACAAGACUCCUACGGGAGGCAGCAGUGGGGAAUAUUGGACAAUGGGCGGAAGCCUGAUCCAGCCAUGCCGCGUGUGUGAAGAAGGCCUUAUGGUUGUAAAGCAGUUUAAGCGAUGUGGAGGCUACUUAGAUUAAUACUCUAGGAUAGUGGACGUUACUCGCAGAAUAAGCACCGGCUAACUCUGUGCCAGCAGCCGCAGUAA